rnacentral:tRNA from 1 species
AGUCAAGAAGUUUUAGUAAACAUGUACCUUGAAAGUACAAGAUGAGGGUUAAAUUCCAUCAUUGACUU